UACGUAGGUGGCAAGCGUUAUCCGGAAUUAUUGGGCGUAAAGCGCGCGCAGGUGGUUUCUUAAGUCUGAUGUGAAAGCCCACAGCUCAACCGUGGAGGGUCAUUGGAAACUGGGAGACUUGAGUGCAGAAGAGGAAAGUGGAAUUCCAUGUGUAGCGGUGAAAUGCGUAGAGAUAUGGAGGAACACCAGUGGCGAAGGCGACUUUCUGGUCUGUAACUGACACUGAGGCGCGAAAGCGUGGGGAGCAAACAGG
rnacentral:rRNA from 1 species